AUUUUUAAAUAUUUUCAAAUUCAGUAAACAGAAUGUUCAAUAGAAUAAUUGCUAUGACAGAAAUAGUUUCAACAGAUUUAUUAUGGAACCAGAAGAAGUGUAGAAGAGAAGUUCAGGCUUCUCUGCUCCUCUUGAUGUUUGGUUGUAAAUGCUGUGAAUGAGGUGAAGGUAUUGGUAUUAUUAAAUUCCUGUGAAUGAGGUGAAGGUAUUGGUAUUAUUAAAUGCCUGUGAAUGAGGUAAAGGUAUUGGUAUUAUUAAAUUCCUGUGAAUGAGGUGAAGGUAUUGGUAUUAUUAAAUGCCUGUGAAUGAGGUAAAGGUAUUGGUAUAACGUUUUUAUGAAGUGAUGAACCAGCUUUGAUUUUCAACGUUUUUGCUUGUUUUUUCCCUACAACCUCUCGUUCUUCAGUAAGUUGCUCUCUUUCUUUCUUUCUUUCUUUCUUUCUUUCUUUCUUUCUUUCUUUCUUUCUUUCUUUCUUUCUUUCUUUCUUUCUUUCUUUCUUUCUUUCUUUCUGUUGUUUUAUGUGCCUCAGUACAUACGCUUGAUUACCUGCGUGUGUGCGUGUGUGCGUGUGUGCGUGUGUGUGUGUGGAAAAGAAAGCGCUAAAGAGAGAACUGUUGACUGAUGUGCUGUAUGUAAAUAACUUACCUCCCUCUAGCAGACUUUUAAUAAAAGUGUACAAAAUGGCUGAAAGUAAGAACCUUUUGGGUGACAUCUUUGACUUGAAGGUUCCCUGCUAAAAUWGUUUUAUAAAAAYUGAAAGGCCACARGUGUGCAAGCUUGUAAUUUGUUGAAAGAGUGCACACCUAAAGUAGUAGAGACUAUUUUUACAGCAAGUUGAUGUAUUUCCUUUCACUUUAAUUUGGUAAAAGACCGGCAUACACACUUGUUUUUGUUACACAACUAAUGGUAAUGACAUUAGUGGCUAUUACAUAAGCACAACAUCAUGACUCUCUACUACAUUUUUACAAGUUAUAAUUUUUCUUCUUUGGCAACCCUUUAUUUUACGUGUUUCCAAGAGAAAAUUAUAACACGACCAUUUCUAGAACUGUACAGAUUGUGAAAAUGUAUAUAUGACUAAACAUUUCAGUCACUCUUUAAUUUUUGUAUGGGAAGAAAUGACAUGUGUUAAAGAAUAAUAACAAAUGUGAUUAAAUAUUUAAUAAUAUUUAAAAUGAGGAUAAUUAAACACAGUCYAUGUGAAAAUAAGUGCUAAGAAAUAUUCUUCUUCUGUCUCUUUGUACAAAACAAAGUGUUGAGUAUUAAUAAUAAAACAAUGAAAUCA